AUUGUUUUGGUUUUAACCGGAGAGAACAUGGUUUUAGGCUCAUGGCAUAAUGGAGCAGAAAAUACAGAGAUUUCCAAGAUUCCAGAUGCCCCACGCCCACGCUCACUUCCCUCACCGUCAGCGCCCCCUCCCCUUCACGUGCUCAUCCGUUCAGAACAUUAAGCCCUGUUUCACUUGCUGCACUUGGUGAGCCGCUUCUAACAAGUCGACAGCGAUGGAAGGGAGAUGCGUGGCUCCCUAGACCAGAUUGCCGAGGGCGACCCAGCCUCCUCUGCCUUGACCUUGCUCAUGGGGAUCUUGCUCAGGGGAAAAGUGCUGUGAGGGCACUUAGCCCCGUGGCCGGAUCCAUGGGCAAAGAAACCAAGGCCUCCAGCCAAGAGCUCCGUGAGUGAGUCGAACUGAUGGACCCGGUGGAGCUGGCAGUUGACCAGUCCCAGCCAACGGCUCAGGAGAAGCUCUGAGCUGGGAUCCCCCUGCCAAGCUGCUCCCAGAUUCCUGCCCCUUGGACACUGGGUCAUGUAUGGAGGCGAAAGUUGGAUUGUGAAGAAAGCUGAGCACCGAAGAAUUGAUGCUUUUGAACUGUGGUGUUGGAGAAGACUCUUGGGAGUCCCUUGGACUGCAAGGAGAUCCAACCAGUCCAUUCUGAAGGAGAUCAGCCCUGGGAUUUCUUUGGAAGGAAUGAUGCUAAAGCUGAAACUCCAGUACUUUGGCCACCUCAUGCGAAGAGUUGACUCAUUGGAAAAGACUCUGAUGCUGGGAGGGAUUGGGGGAAGGAGGAGAAGUGGAUGACAGAGGAUGAGAUGGCUGGAUGGCAUCACUGACUCAAUGGACAUGAGUCUGCGUGAACUCUGGGAGUUGGUGAUGGGCAGGGAGGCCUGGUGUGCUGCGAUUCAUGGGGUCACAAAGAGUCAGACACGACUGAGCAACUGAGCUGAACUGAACUGAAUCAAGGUUUACUCCCUGGAGCUGAAGAUGAGGUUGGUCUUUCCUGACACCAUGACCUUGCAGUGGAGGCUGAGGACUUAAAUACAAUCUGAAUCUUAUUACAAGGAAGAAUAAGGCAAAUUGUCUAGUGACUAAGGGUUCUUCUGUCAUUUACUGUGAUGGAAACCCAGUGAUCUGUCUUCUAAAAACUUGUCAAAGUCUCCCAUCCAUCGACGCCCCCUCCUGUGUCCUUUGUCUUUGUGGGUCUAUGGCAUUUCAUUCCUUUAUCACCAUUUUAAUAGGGUUUAUGAAGGGAAAGGUGAAAAAUGAGUGGUCAGUCUCUCUUCCUGUUUGGAAGCCCCCAGCCAAUGUUUCUCAGACUGGGAGCUGUAGAGACUCAGUCUGUACAGCCUAUAGUGAGUGAGCUAUGACUAGCGUUUUAACAAAUGAAAGAGCGUAGAAAAUGCCAGAUGGUGUGUAUUGCACAGAGUGAGAUUAAAUAUUGUUUCAGUUGAGUAUGCCUGUGUUGUGUGUGCUGGGAAGAGAUGUGAAACAUGUUUCUCCCUACAAGUUGCCCACAAAACUAUUUGGAAAGCAUUAAAGAAGGGGCUUCCCAGAUGGCUCAGUGGUAAAGAACCUGCCUGCCAAUGGCUGAAGAUGCAGGUUUGAUCCCUG
ensembl:lncRNA